rnacentral:lncRNA from 1 species
CUGGGCCUGAUUGAGAUUAGAACCCAGAAAUAUCAGAACCCUCAAUUUGAACAGAAAUGUGAUCUUUUAUGUUUAGGAUAGUCAAGCGUCUACCAAAGUGCCUGUCCUAUCUCUGGAAGAAGUCUGCAUUUUGUGAUAAAAGUAGAAAACUCAAUCAACCUGUCAUCAGUUACGUAACUUAAAAGUUUCUCCAAAAGAAUCCUUUUCUACUUGGGAAGCACAAACAGCCAAAAGCAGCACUGGGGUUUUGACUGUCAAGGAGAUUAUUUGGACAUUAUGAAAAGGCAAAGAGAGAAACACUUCUGUAACUAUAACAAGACUAAAAAAGACUUAGGAGAGGAUCUAGUAUACAGUAAACAUCAGUAAAGCUGGUUGACUGAAUGAAUUUAUCCCAAUCAAACAGUAUGAACGAAUGAAUGACCAAACGAAUGAGAUGGUCUGAAGAAUGCCAAAGGGCCAGUUUUUUUCACUGGCCUGCCACAGUACCCUCAAAUCUCUGUCACUCCCACUUUGGGCACUGUUUCCAGACAGUGCCUGUUAAAAUAAAAAAAAAAUGUCCCGGGAGGGAUAACAUAUCAAGUGAGAAUUACAGUAACAAAGAACGAAGGGCUUGAGGGACAAAGGGAAGAGGUAAAAGCAUGUUCCAGGAAAGGCCCAGAGCACUGGUGCAAGAGAAGGCAGGAUUAAAGACUGUGGAGGUUAAUACAGAGAAGGGCAGAGAUGCGGCCCAGGAAAGAAUUGAGAAAUCUGGGAAGCAGGGCUCAGGAAGGACUGGCAGAAGAUUUUUCUAAAAUUUUUAUUUUAAUUUAUCCAUAGUUAUUGGGGUAGAGGUGGUAUUCACUUACAUGAGUAAGUUUUUAAGUAGUGAUUUAUGAGAUUUUGGUGCAGAUGUUGAAAACAAACCAUGUUUCUUCCCAAUUUUGUCUGGGGCUAGCUGUAAAUGCAGACAGAAAGGGGGAGAGGAGGAAUGGAAGAUCUGGAACCAACUUUCAAAAAUGAACACACUAAGGAAAUUGAAUAUACAGUUCAAAUUUCAAUACCACCAUGUCAAAUGGUCUAAUUUAGUGUGUAUACUAGAAUUUUGUUGUAUUACUAAAUGAAUCCUCAGGGUUUGGAAAUAUUUGUUCAU